rnacentral:rRNA from 1 species
GUGAGGAACCUGCCUUGAAGAGGGGGACAACAGUUGGAAACGACUGCUAAUACCGCAUGACGCAUAGGGGUCGCAUGAUCUUUAUGCCAAAGAUUUAUCGCUUCAAGAUGGCCUCGCGUCUGAUUAGCUGGUUGGCGGGGUAACGGCCCACCAAGGCGACGAUCAGUAGCCGGACUGAGAGGUUGAACGGCCACAUUGGGACUGAGAUACGGCCCAGACUCCUACGGGAGGCAGUAGUGGGGAAUAUUGGGCAAUGGGCGCAAGCCUGACCCAGCAACGCCGCGUGAAGGAAGAAGGCUUUCGGGUUGUAAACUUCUUUUAAGAGGGAAGAGGAGAAGACGGUACCUCUAGAAUAAGCCACGGCUAACUACGUGCCAGCAGCCGCGGUAAUACGUAGGUGGCAAGCGUUGUCCGGAUUUACUGGGUGUAAAGGGCGUGCAGCCGGGUCUGCAAGUCAGAUGUGAAAUCCAUGGGCUCAACCCAUGAACUGCAUUUGAAACUGUAGAUCUUGAGUGUCGGAGGGGCAAUCGGAAUUCCUAGUGUAGCGGUGAAAUGCGUAGAUAUUAGGAGGAACACCAGUGGCGAAGGCGGAUUGCUGGACGAUAACUGACGGUGAGGCGCGAA